GAUGAAGAACGCAGCGAAAUGCGAUAAGUAAUGUGAAUUGCAGAAUUCAGUGAAUCAUCGAAUCUUUGAACGCACAUUGCGCCCGCCAGUAUUCUGGCGGGCAUGCCUAUUCGAGCGUCAUUUCAACCAUCAAGCCCCCGGCUUGUGUUGGGGACCUGCGGCUGCCGCAGGCCCUGAAAAGCAGUGGCGGGCUCGCUGUCACACCGAGCGUAGUAGCAUACAUCUCGCUCUGGGCGUGCUGCGGGUUCCGGCCGUUAAACCACCUUCAUAACCCAAGGUUGACCUCGGAUCAGGUAGGAAGACCCGCUGAACUUAAGCAUAUCAAUAAGCGGAGGA
rnacentral:misc_RNA from 1 species